UACGGAGGGUGCGAGCGUUGUCCGGAAUCACUGGGCGUAAAGGGCGCGUAGGUGGCGCGGGCAGUCAACGGUGAAAGUUCGGGGCUCAACCCUGAAUCGGCCGUCGAUACUCCCGUGCUGGAGCACUGUAGAGGCUAAUGGAAUUCCGGGUGUAGCGGUGGAAUGCGUAGAGAUCCGGAAGAACACCGGUGGCGAAGGCGGUUAGCUGGGCAGUUGCUGACACUGAGGCGCGACAGCGUGGGGAGCAAACAGG
rnacentral:rRNA from 1 species